UACGUAGGUGGCAAGCGUUGUCCGGAUUUACUGGGCGUAAAGAGCGCGCAGGCGGUCGUUCAAGUCGCGUGUGAAAGCCCCCCGGCUCAACUGGGGAGGGUCACGCGAUACUGAUCGACUCGAAGGCAGGAGAGGGUAGUGGAAUUCCCGGUGUAGUGGUGAAAUGCGUAGAUAUCGGGAGGAACACCAGUGGCGAAGGCGACUACCUGGCCUGUUCUUGACGCUGAGGCGCGAAAGCUAGGGGAGCAAAC
rnacentral:rRNA from 1 species